UCUUAUGGAUGAGCAAAGCAAGUGACUUCUUCAGAUAGAAUCUACUCCACAUGAAGAUGCUGUGAA
rnacentral:pre_miRNA from 2 species